AUUGAACGCUGGCGGCAGGCUUAACACAUGCAAGUCGAGCGGAGAUGAGGUGCUUGCACCUUAUCUUAGCGGCGGACGGGUGAGUAAUGCUUAGGAAUCUGCCUAUUAGUGGGGGACAACAUUCCGAAAGGAAUGCUAAUACCGCAUACGCCCUACGGGGGAAAGCAGGGGACCUCCGGACCUUGCGCUAAUAGAUGAGCCUAAGUCGGAUUAGCUAGUUGGUGGGGUAAAGGCCUACCAAGGCGACGAUCUGUAGCGGGUCUGAGAGGAUGAUCCGCCACACUGGGACUGAGACACGGCCCAGACUCCUACGGGAGGCAGCAGUGGGGAAUAUUGGACAAUGGGGGGAACCCUGAUCCAGCCAUGCCGCGUGUGUGAAGAAGGCCUUAUGGUUGUAAAGCACUUUAAGCGAGGAGGAGGCUACUGAGACUAAUACUCUUGGAUAGUGGACGUUACUCGCAGAAUAAGCACCGGCUAACUCUGUGCCAGCCGCCGCCGUAAGAC
rnacentral:rRNA from 1 species